rnacentral:misc_RNA from 1 species
UUUCCGUAGGUGAACCUGCGGAAGGAUCAUUACAUUCAGUAGCCCAGCUACUUGUUUACACCCUUGUUUUUUUUUUGCGUACCUAACGUUUCCUCGGCGGGCUUGCCUGCCGGUUGGACAACUUUUAAGCCUUUUUAAAUCUUCAAUCAGUGUCUGAAUAAUAUACAAUAAUUACAACUUUCAACAACGGAUCUCUUGGUUCUGGCAUCGAUGAAGAACGCAGC